UCUCUGUUAGUAUAUCGGUUAGUACACGCGCCUGUCACGUCCUCUAUGUGUGCUGCCGUGCGCGCGAAAGCGGGGUUCGACUCCCCGACAGAGAG